AUAUAUAUAUAUAUAUAUAUAUAUAUAUAAUAGGGUGUUUCUCUUAGAGCGCCGACUUUAGUGGGUCUAUUUGGAUCCAACGUUGUUAAACUUAUUUUUGGGAGUUGGAGGAGUGCUUGAAGCCUGCUUCACCUCCGUCGCGGGUCGGCCCUGUAUUGCACAAUUGCCGGGAUCGGCCCACGCAUU